rnacentral:sRNA from 1 species
GCCGGGCACGGUGGUGCAUGCCUGUAAUCCCAGCAGCUUGGGAGGCUGAGGCAGGAGGAUCUCGAGUUCAAAGCCAGCCUCAGCAAAAAGUGAGGUCCUAAGCAAAUCAGUGAGACCUUGUCUCUA